AGUAGCUUUGCUACAGGAGAAAAUCGCUUAUCUGUAGCGCAAAAUCGGCGCACAGGGGUUUUCUCUGAGAUUGUCUAGACGCCGAGCGGGCGGGUCGGAGGCGCCAGACACAUUGUAUCCGGAGCGCGGAGCUCGGGAGCAACAGUCGCCGCUUCUACUCUGUAUCUGCGCCGCCCCAGGCGCCCAGUGUCCGCGCUGGGCCUGGGACUGCCCUCGGGGGAUGGGGCCCACGCGGGCUUUGAUGGGGGGCCGGGGGCCACUUUGUCCACCCAGGCGAGGCUCGGGUCCAGCGCCGGCCACAUCAACUCCCGGGGGAUCUAGCAGCGCAGAGGCCGAGCAGGAGGCCCGGGAGCCCCGCGCGUCUUCCAUUAGCGCAGGGACCUCCGGGCCACAGCUCAGAGAAUCGGAAGGCCUCCUCCCCCUUCCCGAGCGCUGCCACUGGGGCCGAGGUUUCCAGCAAGAACCCGCGUGUCCCUGCGCACGCACACACGGUGCACACAUCAGUCCGGCGCCUCCCCGUGCCCCGACUCACGCAGGUCCUCCCGCGCGCCCGCAACACGCCCGCAGGCUCCUGUGUCUGCUGCCGGGGCAGCGGGGCCCGUAAGGCAGAAGAUGGCUGUGCCACCCACGUAUGCCGAUCUUGGCAAAUCUGCCAGGGAUGUCUUCACCA
rnacentral:lncRNA from 1 species